CUCUCAGAAGCUUGCUGCCAUGUUAUAAAGAAGCUCAGAUGGAUCACUGGAUGAUGAGAAGCCUCAAGGAGAGAUGCCCUAAAGGAUGAGAGGCCAUCUUGAAAGUUCCAGCCCCUGCAGAGCUCCUACCUUAAUGCAGCCACACAAGUGACCACAGCUAUUCCACAAGGAGCAGAACCCAACCAACCCACAAAACUGAGAAAAAUAAUACCUUGUUGUGUUAAGUCACUAAGUUUGAGUGGCUUGUGAUACUGCAAGAGAACUGAAGCAGACCUCUUCAGACAGAUUAAAAUGGGGGACCCUGGCUAUUGCUGGGCUCCUCUGGGAAGAGUCUCCUAAAGAGAUGUCUUAGGCCCCUUUGCCCAAAUGGCUGCAGAGGGCUGGCGUGCAGUGGCGCGAUCUCGGCUCACUGCAAGCUCCGCCUCCCGGAUUCAUGCCAUUCUCCUGCCUCAGCCUCCCGAGUAGCUGGGACUACAGGCGCCUGCCACCCUUGUGAACUUGCUCCAGGACACAACUGACACACAGCCUUGCUUGGUGUAAAGAUUACGGCACAGAGACGGAGAGCCAGCCAUCAAACACUUAGUCUGAUUGCAAGCUGAAGUAAGUGCUAUAAAGGCAAAGAAUAGGACAUGAUGAGAAAAUAAUACGGGUGAAGUUAAUUUAGGUGACUGGCCUGGGGAAAUGUGACAUUGAAGCUGAGACCCAAAGGAUGAAGAUGAGUUACUCAAGUAAGGAGAGGGAGGAGGAGGAAGCAGGAAGAACAUCCCAGGUGUAGGAAACAGCAUGUGUGAGAGCCUUGUGACCAGAAUGAGUUUGGCGAUUUGAAGGAAGGCAGUGAGCUCAGAGGGAUUGCGGGUAGAUGAGAUUGCACAGGGAAACAGAGUCCAGAUCAUGUAGAGCCCUGCAGGCAGUGAAGCGUGUUGGGUUUAACCCAAAGCACACUGGGAAGUCUUUGAAAGUUGGAAGCCUGGAUGUGACAUGGAUGAUCGGGGCAAACAUGCAAGUAGGAAUGCUAUUUAGGAGGUAUCUGCAAAAAUCCAGGAGAGAGAGGCUGCCUGUAAUGGACAUGGAGAAAAGUGGACUGAUUCAAGAUACAAUUUGGAGGUAGAAUUAUUAUUUACUGAACCUACUGUUAUUUAUGUUUUGAACCUUAAGUUUUUUUUAAAUUUUAUUUAUUUAUUUAUUUAUUUAUUUAUUUAUUUAUUUUUUACUGAGACAGAGUCUUGCUCUGUCGCCCAGGCUGGAGUGCAGUAGCAUGAUCUCAGCUCACUGCAACCUCUGCCUCCUGGGUUCUAGCGAUUCUCCUGCCUCAGCCUCCCAAGUAGCUGGGACUACAGGCACACGCCAUCAUGCCCGGCUAAUUUUUUGUAUUUUUAGUAAAGACAGGGUUUCGCCAUGUUAGACAGGAUGGUCUUGAUCUCCUGCCCUCGUGAUCCGCUAAAAUUGAUCAUUUGGUGUACAAUUCUAAACAUUUUAGCACAUGGAGAGCCAGGUAAUCAUCACCACAACAGGAUUCAGAACAGCCCCAUCGCCUCCCAAAAACCUCCUAGUGCUAUUUUUUUUUUUGUAGUCACAUUCUCUCCCUCAACAGAUCUAGAAGCCUAACAGAUCUAGAAGAAGUAGGGUCAUGACCUGAUCCCGGUCAGAACCACUAUUUAUCUAGGUCCCAAAUGUGUUACUGACAGUCCUGUAUUUAGGAGCAUCUAACAGACUCAGCCUUUCCCAGGGGGUUAUUUCCACCCCUUGACCCUUCAUAGACUUCUUACUCUACCAGUAUGUUCAGUCCCCAUCUUAAUAGGCACAGAAGAUGCAGGAAAAGCCUGUAGGAGUUAUAAAAGCUCACCAAAAUUUCCACAUCCUGAGAUAUAUCUACAAAGUCAGUAAUGGGGGAAGGCAAUCUAUUUUUAGGCACAUAAAUAAUUUAGGUCAGAAUAUUUCAGGUAGCAUUGCAUUAUAGCUGAAAACAAACCUCAGUUUGAAUGGUUAUAAAGUGAUUUCAAUAAACAUCAUUUCUAAAAGCAUAAGCAUUUUAAUUAGCUCAUCUGUAACUCCACAGGGCCUGCUGAGAUAUAAAUAUACAUAUAUAUUCAUAAUAUAGAUUGUUGUGAAUAGAUUUCUUAUUAGUUGCAUCUCUCUCUUUCUUCCUCUCCCAUUAUUGUUUUUUUAUUUCACAAAAUGUCCUCUAUCUUUGAGUGAAAGAAGAGUUCUGUUUACUUGUGUUCUGGGGUCAUAGAAAAUGGAUAAAAUUAUUUUCUCUGGAAAACAGGAGGGUUCAGGAUAGUUCAAAUAUCUCAAUUUCCCCAAAGAACUUCAUGUAUCACUUCAUCUAGAGUUCCCUGGUUCCAGGGAGGAACAUAUGAGUUAACUGAGGUCUUGUCAUUGGUCCGGGCACUAGAAUACAAGAGAGUACCCUACAGAUGAGCAGCUAAAAGGGGAGCAGGGGAAAAAGAGAGAGACUUUCUUCCCAGCAAUUCUAGGCUCUAUUCUGGGUAAAUAAAGGUUUUGUGUCCUUUUUCUUGCUGGGUCCUCUCAGGAGCACAGUGAGACACACUCUGAUUUCCACACUGCAGAUGGCCCACAGCAUAACUUUUCCAAGGCUGUAUAGUUAUGCCUUGAAUCCAGAAUUCAUGUCUGUGAAAGAAGACAGGCUAUAUCAGGGGUCAGCCAUGCCUUUUGGUUCCAGUGAUGUUCGAAGGUGCACUAGGAAGAUGAGAGAUCUUUUAAGAAAGUGGAGAAACAGAAGGAAACACAAGGCAAUAAGUUAAUAUUAAAGGUGGAAAUAGAGGGAAAACAAAAACAGCCCUUGACAUCCGUGUUAGGCUGUUCUCUCACUGCUAUAAAGAAAUAUCUGGGACUGGGUAAUUUAUAAAGAAAAGUGUAAGAUCUGCAGGCCAUACAAGCAUGGCGCCAGCAUCCGCUGGGCUUCUGGAAGGCGUCAGGAAGCUUUUAUUCAUGGCGGAAGGUGAAGCAGGGACAGGCACGUCACAUGGUGAAAGCAGGAGCAAGGGGGAGUGGGGAGAUGCUAAACACUUGUAAACAACCAGAUCUUGUGACAAUUCACUAUCACAAGAACAGCACCAAGCCAUGAAGGAUCUGCUCCCAAGACCCAAACACCUCCCACUAGGCCCCACCUCCAGUAUUGGGGAUUACAAUUCAACGUGAGAUUUGGGCAGGGACAAAUAUCCAAACUAUAUCACCAUCUAUACCAGCGAGAACUUCUGUAAGACACUUUGGAGUUUGCAGAGUUCUUUUAUGUCUACUGACUUAUGAUUUCAGAGGCAUUGGUGGAAAGGACUCAGAUUUUGUAAAUAGACAUACUGGUUCUAAGCCCCUUUUGAACCACAGCUGAGAAAGUUGUGUGGCCUGAGAAAUAGCCCUACCCCAGAUUUGGAAUUGAACUUUGCUUUGGUUAUCUGUUGCUGUGUAACCCACUACCCUAAAACUUAGUGGGUAACAACAACCACAAUUUUACCACAAUUUAUUUUCUCUCGUGACUCUGUGGGCUGACUACACAGGUCUCUUGCUUCAUGUGGUGUCAGCUAGACUCUUGAGAUGGCGAGUAGGUGCAAAAUGCCCUGACUCAUAUGGCUGAGAAAUGGUGCUUCCUGCUGAUUGAGAGCUCAGCUGGGUUGUUGGCUGAGGGCCUUUGUGUUCAUCCAUGUGGGCCUUUCCAUAUGGCUGCUUGGGCUUCCUCCAAGCAUGGUAGCUGGGUUCCAAGGAGGAGUGUUCCAAGUGAACAAGCCUUAACGUGCAAGUAUAUAUCAAGCCUCCAUUUGCAUCAUGUCUGCUAAUGUCUCAUUGGACAAAGAUAGUCACAUGGCCAAGUUCAGAGACAAUAUGGUAGGGGACUAAACAAAGACAUGAAUACUGGGAGGUUGGUUCACUGAGGCCAUCAAAGGAACUGUAACAAUCUACUACCAUCUCGAAGAAACCAUUUUGCAACCUCAGCACACAAAACAUUGUUUGUGGCUCAGCCUCCAUCUGAAACUUCAUGUCCACCAUAAACUUUCUUGCCAAAUUCUAAUAGAAUGUUCCUUCUGAUACUGAGUCACAACUGGACUGCCAGUUUUAUGCACUGGUCUUUGUUCACUUCUUGUGGGACACAGUACCAGAUAUUACAAGCAACUUAGAAGAAAUAUGAGCUCUUAUUCUUGCCUUAAGAAAACAGUUGUCCAAGUGCUGAGAUGGGAACAAGAAAGAGCACAUUGGUAAGGGAGGGGCAGAAAUUCAGAGAAGAAAAAGAUAAAUGAAGGACAGAAUGGGAAGAGAGGAAUGCUUUCUUCCCUUUUACCAUCUCUUCUUUCCUUCCUUCCCUGUUUUUGUCCUUCUUCCUUUCUAUUCUCGUAUUCUAUACCCAACCUUUUCUGACCCUCUUCUCAUCUUAGGUGUGAGAUCAUCCUAAGUAAUAGUGAAUCAGGCUCAUCUAUUGUAUUAAUUAUCUAUUGCUGUGUAACAAGUUAUCCUAAAGUUUUGUGGCUCAGAACAACAAUAAAUAUUUAUUAUCUUCUAUAUAUUUUAUGGGUCAGGAAUUGAAGAGUGUCCAAGUUGGGUAGUUCUGGAUCAAGGUACUCAUAGCAUAGCUGUCAAGAUGUCAUCUGGGGUGGAAGUCAUGAGAAGAUUUGAAUGGGUCAGGAGGGCCUGCUUCCAAGGUGGCUCACUCACAUGGCUGACAGGCUGGUGCUGGCUGUUGGUGAGUGGUCACAUCCUCCCCAUUUGAGCUUCUGCACAGGCUGCUGAUUGUCCUAUGACAUGGCAGUUGGUUUGUCCCAGAGCAAGGAAGCCAAGAGAGGAGAGUCAGGUAGAAGCUAUCCUUUUUAUGACCUACCUUUAGAAGUCACAUAGCAUCACUUCUGCCUUGUUCUGUUCAUUAGAAGGGAAACCCCAAGUGUAGUCUGCUUUCAAUCAGAGGAGAAUUAGCCUUCACCUUCUCAAGGGAGUAGUAUCAAAGUAUUUGCAGACAUUUAAAAAUUACCAUAUUCAUGUUUUCAAAAGGAUCCUCUUGAAGUCACUGAGUAUAUUCUGUCCCACUUCAGUAAUUUCUGAGGUGGGAAUAGGUGGGUGAUAAGGAACUCUUACCAUGCAGUGGACAAAUGAUUUUUCAGCAACCAAGUUCUUGUUCACCUUUGCAAGAAAGUUCCCUUCUCACACAUGCUACAGCUAAUGCUGACCCAGUGAGGCUGAAUGAUGGCUCUCAAAUGCCAGAAAGCUUUCGAAAGGACAAAGAAGACUGGAAUGGAGAAGGUGCACGAGUGACUGCUGUCAGUCAGGCAAAUCAUAAAGGCCAGUGCUCCCCUUGUCCAGUUAGAGAACCAGGCCCUUUUGAAGAUGAACCUUCUGUGACUGUCCCUUUGCUUCCCUGAAAUGAAGUGUAUUUAGACCAUGUGCUUAUUUUUUACCUCCCCUCGUGUGCUCUGAUUUAUUAACGUGUGUUAUACACUGAGUCAGUUUAAUUAAUUGUAGCUCAUAUGCUAAUAUCACUCUCCUUUCCCACUACUUUCCUUGAAGGAAUCUGCAAAGAUUAGAUUUGACCUGCUGCUGUGAAAAAUACCCAAAAGGAGGAUGGUGAAAACUGGAGUAAGGGAUCCUCAACUUUUGGAAAGAAUUAUCUGGGAUAUUAAAGGAAUAGAUAGGUUAUGCUUUUUUUGGUUGUUGUCGUCCCUUUCUCUGUUCAGGUUUUCUACUGGGACUUUUUUGGAGUUGGUCUUGCUCAGGCUGGGUUCUGCCUGGCCAGCUCAGUUGUAAGUAGGAGAGUCUUUUUUUUUUUUUUUUUUUUAAUUAUUAUACUUUAAGUUCUAGGGUACAUGUACACAACGUGCAGGUUUGUUACAUAUGUAUACAUGUGCCAUGUUGGUGUGCUGCACCCAUUAACUCACCAUUUACCUUAGGUAUAUCUCCUAAUGCUAUCCCUUCCCCGUCCCCCAAUCCUACGACAGGCCCUGGUGUGUGAUGUUCCCCACCCUGUGUCCAAGUGUUCUCAUUGUUCCAUUCCCACCUAUGAGUGAGAACAUGCGGUGUUUGGUUUUCUGUCCUUGUGACAGUUUGCUGAGAAUGAUGGUUUCCAGCUUCAUCCAUGUCCCUACAAAGGACAUGAACUCAUCAUUUUUUAUGGCUGCAUAGUAUUCCAUGGCAUGUAUUGCUACAUUUUCUUAAUCCAGUCUAUCAUUGAUGGACAUUUGGGUUGGUUCCAAGUCUUUGCUAUUGUGAAUAGUGCCGCAAUAAACAUACGUGUGCAUGUGUCUUUAUAGCAGCAUGAUUUAUAGUCCUUUGGGUAUAUACCCAGUAAUGGGAUGGCUGGGUCAAAUGGUAUUUGCAGUUCUAGAUCCUUGAGGAAUCGCCACACUGUCUUCCACAAUGGUUGAACUAGUUUACAGUCCCACCAACAGUGUAAAAGUGUUCCUAUUUCUCCACAUCCUCUCCAGCACCUGUUGUUUCCUGACCUUUUAAUGAUCGCUAUUCUAACUGGUGUAAGAUGGUAUGUCAUUGUAGUUUUGAUUUGCAUUUCUCUGAUGGCCAGUGAUGUUGAGCAUUUUUUCAUGUGUCUGUUGGCUGCAUAAAUGUCUUCUUUUGAGAAGUGUCUGUUCAUAUCCUUUGCCCACUUUUUGAUGGGGUUGUUUGAUUUUUUUCUUGUAAAUUUGUUUAAGUUAUUUGUAGAUUCUGGAUAUUAGCCCUUUGUCAGAUGGGCACAUUGUAAAAAUUUUCUCCCAUUCUGUAGGUUGCCUGUUCACUCUGAUGGUAGUUUGUUUUGCUGUGUAGAAGCUCUUUAGUUUAAUUAGAUCCCAUUUGUCAAUUUUGGCUUCUGUUGCCAUUGCUUUUGGUGUUUUAGUCAUGAAGACCUUGCCCAUGCAUAUAUCCUGAAUGGUAUUGCCUAGGUUUUCUUCUAGGGUUUUUAUGGUUUUAGGUCUAACAUUUAAAUCUUUAAUCCAUCUUGAAUUAAUUUUUGUAUAAGGUGUAAGGAAGGCAUCCAGUUUCAGCUUUCUACAUAUGGCUAGCCAGUUUUCUCAGCACCAUUUAUUAAAUAGGGAAUCCUUUCCCCAUUGCUUGUUUUUGUCGGGUUUGUCAAAGAUCAGAUGGUUGUAGAUGUGUGGUGUUAUUUCUGAGGGCUCUGUUCUGUCCCAUUGGUCUAUAUCUCUGUAUUGUUAACAGUACUAUCCUGUACUGUAGCCUUGUAGUAUAGUUUGAAGUCAGGUAGCAUGAUGCCUCCAGCUUUCUUCUUUUGGCUUAGGAUUGUCUUGGCAAUGAGGUCUCUUUUUUGGUUCCAUAUGAACUUUAAAGUAGUAUUUCCCAAUUCUGUGAAGAAAGUCAUUGGUAGCUUGAUGGGGAUGGCAUUGAAUCUAUAAAUUACCUUGGGCAGUAUGGCCAUUUUCAUGAUAUUGAUUCUUCCUAUCCAUGAGCAUGGAAUGUUCCUCCACUUGUUUGUGUCCUCUUUUAUUUGGUUGAGCAGUAGUUUGUAGUUCUCCUUGAAGAGGUCCUUCACAUCCCUUGUAAGUUGGAUUCCUAGGUAUUUUAUUCUCUUUGAAGCAAUUGUGAAUGGGAGUUCACUCAUGAUUUGGCUCUCUGUUUGUCUGUUAUUGGUGUAUAGGAAUGCUUGUGAUUUUUGCACAUUGACUUUGUAUCCUGAGACUUUGCUGAAGUUGCUUAUCAGCUUAAGGAGAUUUUGGGCUAAGACGAUGGAGUUUUCUAAAUAUAUAAUCACGUCAUUUGCAAACGGGGACAAUUUGACUUCCCCUUUUCCUAAUUGAAUACCGUUUAUUUCUUUCUCUUGCCUGAUUGCCCUGUCCAGAACUUCCAACACUAUGUUGAAUAGGAGUGGUGAGAGAGGGCAUCCUUGUCUUGUGCCAGUUUUCAAAGGGAAUGCUUCCAGUUUUUGCCCAUUCAGUAUAUUGGCUGUGGGUUUGUCAUAAAUAGCUCUUAUUAUUUUGAGAUAUGUCCCAUCAAUAUCUAAUUUAUUGAGAGUUUUUAGCAUGAAGAGCUGUUGAAUUUUGUCGAAGGCCUUUUCUGCAUCUAUUGAGUAAUCAUGUGGUUUUUGUCUUUGGCUCUGUUUAUAUGAUGGGUUACGCUUAUUGAUUGCGUUAUGUUGAACCAGCCUUGCAUCCUAGGGAUGAAGACAACUUGAUCAUGGUGGAUAAGCUUUUUGAUGUGCUGCUAGAUUCGGUUUGCCAGUAUUUUAUUGAGGAUUUUUGCAUCAAUGUUCAUCAGGGAUAUUGGUCUAAAAUUCUCUUUUUUUGUUGUGUCUCUGCCAGGCUUUGGUAUCAGGAUGAUGCUGGCCUCAUAAAAUGAGUUAGAGAGGAUUCCCUCUUUUUCUAUUGAUUGGAAUAGUUUCAAAAGGAAUGGUACCACCUCCUCUUUGUACCUCUGGUAGAAUUUGACUGUGAAUCCAUCUGGUCCUGGACUUUUUUUGGUUGGUAGGCUAUUAAUUAUUGCCUCAAUUUCAGAGCCUGUUAUUGGUCUAUUCAGGGAUUCAACUUCUUUCUGGUUUAGUCUUGGGAGGGUGUAUGUGUCCAGGAAUUUAUCCAUUUCUUCUAGAUUUUCUAGUUUAUUUGCAUAGAGAUGUUUAUAGUAUUCUCUGAUGGUAGUCUGUGUUUCUGUGGGAUCGGUGGUGAUAUUCCCUUUAUCAUUUUUUAUUGCGUCUAUUUGAUUCUUCUCUCUUUUCUUCUUUAUUAGUCUUGCUAGCGGUCUAUCAAUUUUGUUGAUCUUUUCAAAAAACCAGCUCCUGCAUUCAUUGAUUUUUUGAAGGGUUUUUGUGUGUCUAUCUCCUUCAGUUCUGCUCUGAUCUUUGUUAUUUCUUGCCUUCUGCUAGUUUUUGAAUGUGUUUGCUCUUGCUUCUCUAGUUCUUUUAAUUGUGAUGUUAGAGUGUCAAUUUUAGAUCUUUCCUGCUUUCUCUUGUGGGCAUUUAGUGCUGUAAAUUUCCUUCUACACACUGCUUUAAAUGUGUCCCAGGGAUUCUGGUAUGUUGUGUCUUUGUUCUCAUUGGUUUCAAAGAACAUCUCUAUUUCUGCCUUCAUUUCGUUAUUUACCCAGUAGUCAUUCAGGAGCAGGUUGUUCAGUUUCCAUGUAGUUGAGUGGUUCUGAGUGAGUUUCUUAAUCCUGAGUUCUAGUUUGAUUGCACUGCAGUCUGAGAGACAGUUUGUUAUAAUUUCGGUUCUUUUACAUUUGCUGAGGAGUGCUUUACUUUGAACUAUUUGGUCAAUUUUGGAAUAAGUGCGAUGUAGUGCUGAGAAGAAUGUAUAUUCUGUUGAUUUGGGGUGGAGCAUUCUGUAGAUGUCUAUUAGGUCUGCUUGUUGCAGAGCUGAGUUCAAUUCCUGGAUAUCCUUUUUAAGUUUCUGUCUCAUUGAUCUGUCUAAUGUUGACAGUGGGGUGUUAAAGUCUCCCAUUAUUAUUGUGUGGGAGUCUAAGUCUCUUUGUAGGUCUCUAAGGACUUGCUUUAUGAAUCUGGGUGCUUCUGUAUUGGGUGCAUAUCUAUUUAGGGUAGUUAGCUCUUGUUGUUGAAUUGAUCCCUUUACCAUUAUGUAAUGGUCUUCUUUGUCUCUUUUGAUCUUUGUUGGUUUAAAGUCUGUUUUAUUAGAGUAGGAUUGCAACCCCUGCUUUUUUUUGUUUUCCCAUUAGCUUGGUGGAUCGUCUUCCAUCCCUUUAUUUUGAGCCUAUAUGUGUCUCUGCAUGUGAGAAGGGUCUCCUGAAUACAGAACACUGAUGGGUCUUGACUCUUUAUUCAAUUUGCCAGUCUGUGUCUUUUAAUUGGAGCAUUUAGCCCAUUUACAUUUAAGGUUAGUAUUGUCAUGUGUGAAUUAGAUCCUAUCUUUAUGAUGUUCGUUGGUUAUUUUGCUUGUUAGUUGAUGCAGUUUCUUCCUAGCAUCGAUGGUCUUUACAAUUUGGCAUGUUUUUGCAGUGGCUGGUACAGGUUGUUCCUUUCCAUGUUUAGUGCUUCCUUCAGGAGCUCUUUUAAGGCAGGCCUGGUGGUGACAAAAUCUCUCAGCAUUUGCUUGUUUGUAAAGGAUUUUAUUUCUCCUUCACUUCUGAAGCUUAGUUUGGCUGGAUAUGAAAUUCUGGGUUGAAAAUUCUUUUCUUUAAGAAUGUUGAAUAUUGGCGCCCACUCUCUUCUGGCUUGUAGAGUUUCUACCAAGAGAUCAGCUGUUAGUCUGAUGGGCUUCCCUUUGUGGGUAACCCGACCUUUCUCUCUGGCUGCCUUUAACAUUUUUUCCUUCAUUUCAACUUUGGUGCAUUUGACAAUUAUGUGUCUUGGAGUUGCUCUUCUCAAGGAUUAUCUUUGUGGCAUUCUCCGUAUUUCCUGAAUCUGAAUAUUGGCCUGCCUUGCUAGGUUGGGGAAGUUCUCCUGGACAAUAUCCUGAAGAGUGUUUUCCAACUUGGUUCCAUUCUCCCUGUCACUUUCAGGUACACCAAUCAGAUGUAGAUUUGGUCUUUUCACAUAGUCGCAUAUUUCUUGGAGGCUUUGUUCGUUUCUUUUUACUCUUUUUUCUUUAAACUUCUCUUCUCACUUCAUUUCAUUCAUUUGAUCUUCAAUCACUGAUACCAUUUCUUCCACUUGAUUGAAUUGGCUACUGAAGCUUGUGCAUGCAUCAUGUAGUUCUUGAGCCAUGGUUUUCAGCUCCAUCAGGUCAUUUAAGUUCUUCUCUACACUGUUUAUUCUAGUUAGCCAUUUGUCUAAUCUUUUUUCAAGGUUUUUAGCUCCUUUGUGAUGGGUUCGGACAUCCUCCUUUAACUCGGAGAAGUUUCUUAUUACUGAUCGUUUGAAGCCUUCUUCUCUGAAUUCGUCAAAGUCAUUAUCCGUCCAGCUUUGUUCUGUUGCUGACGAGCAGCUGCAUUCCUUUGGAGGAGAAGAGGCGCUCUGAUUUUUAGAAUUUUCAGCUUUUCUGCUCUGUUUUCUCCCCAUCUUUCUGGUUUUAUCUACCUUUGGUCUUUGAUGAUGGUGACGUCCAGAUGGGGUUUUGGUUUGGAUGUCCUUUCCGUUUGUUAGUUUUCUUUCUAACAGUCAGGACCCUUAGCUGCAGGUCUGUUGGAGUUUGCUGGAGGUCCACUCCAGACCCUGUUUGCCUGGGUAUCUCCAGUGGAGGCUGUAAAACAGCAAAUAUUGCAGAAUGGCAAAUGUUGCUGCCUGAUCCUUCCUCUGGAAGCUUCAUCUGAGAGGGGCACCCAGCCAUAUGAGAUGUCAGUCAGCCCCUACUGGGAGGUGCCUCCCAGUUAGGCUACUCAGGGAUCAGGGACCCACUUGAGGAGGCAGUCUGUCUAUUCUCAGAUCUCAAACUCCAUGCUGGGGGAACCACUACUCUCUUCAAAGCUGUCAGACAGGGAUGUUUAAAUCUGCAGAAGUUUCUGCUGCCUUUUGUUCAGCUAUGCCCUGCCCCCAGAGGUGGAGUCUAUAGAGGCAGGCAGGCAGGCCUCCUUGAGCUGCGCUAGGCUCCACCCAGUUUGAGCUUGCUCCCCCAGCCUCGCUGCUGCCUUGCAGUUCGAUCUCAGACUGCUGUGCUAGCAGUGAGCGAGGCUCUGUGGGCAUGGGACCCUCCAAACCAGGCAUGGGAUAUAAUCUCCUGGUGUGCCGUUUGCUAAGACCAUUGGAAAAGUGCAGUGUUAGGGUGGGAGUGUCCCCAUUUUCCAGGUAUUGUCUGUCAUGGCUUCCGUUGGCUAGGAAAGGGAAUUCCUCGACCCCUUGCACUUCCCUGGUGAGGUGAUGCCCUGCCCUGCUUCGGCUCAUGCUCUGUGGGAUGUACCCACUGUCUGACAAGCUCCAUUGAGAUGAACCUGGUACUUCAUUUGGAAAUGCAGAAAUCACCUGUCUUCUGUGUCACUCAUGCUGGGAGCUGUAGACUGGAGCUGUUCCUAUUCAGCCAUCUUGGAACCUCAUCAGUAGGAGAGUCUUCAGCUCAGUGUCUCGGUUUGAGUUCUUGUUAUAAUAGCACUAGGCAUAAUACUGGGCAUACAGUGGAUGCUCAGGAGAUGACUAUGGAAUAAGCAAGUAGGAUAGGGUUUGGAGAGGAGAAUGAGGCUUGGGCUGAAAGCUGAACUGAGUUCUAGUUUUGGAUCUCUUGCUAAGCAUGUCAUCACUUGAGUCUCUUGGACUUGACUUUUUUUGUGUGUGUGAAAUUGGAGAGUCAGAGGUAGGUUGGGGAUCCCAGGCAUUCCAUGGUUCUGGGAUAGUGACAUGGUUUGAAGGAAUUAGAACUGUAGUCACCAGAUGUGGCAAUAUUUAGAGAGAUGCUUUAGCUCAAGACCAGCUCUAUCCUGAUAGGAUGGCAGAAACUGGAGAUAGAAGCCCCUUGUGACCUGGCGCAGGUUGAAGACCCUCUCUGGACCACACUUGAGCCAUCUGUAGAAUAAAGAGGAAGUGGCUGCUUUUCUAGCUCUAGGUCCUCUGCUUCUAAAUACUUUUUCCAUCAGCAGCUGUACUAAGUGAGGAUCCCAUGAUAUUACUUGGACAAUGCCAAACAUUGGUGAUAGAACACAUUCAGCAUGUCCUGGAGAUGCUGGGGACUCUUGUUUCCUGAAGGAGACUGUCAAGAGGGUAAGAUAGAGCCUCUUUUCAGUCAUGAGCUCUCUGCUGUAGUAUUCUCUUGCAAGUUUGAGAAUGAUCUAAAUCUGGGCAUUCAGAGGGCUGUUGAUUCUGAAUCUUUUAGAGGGGAGGCAAUUGUUAAGAUAAUGGAGUACAACUCCUUCAUUCUUCUCACGAAGAACCUGGAACUCUGGAGAGGUGAACUACAUAACAAUUUAGCAAAUUAAUGAGUAGGCUCAGACCAGCACUUUGGUGACUUCUCAUGGAAAGUUUCUUUCUAUACUAAGCCUACUCCUGCCUUCAAGGAGUUCUAUAGAUUUCCAUUGUCAGUAUCAAGUAGGUGGAUGUCUAGGGUGUAGCACAGUGCCUGCCACAUAUAGCAGGUGCUCAAUAAAUACUGGCCAAAGAAACAAUGUGCACAACUGUUACAGGCUCUUCCAAUAGUAAAGACUAGGAUUUGUCAUGUGGAUUCCAAGUUAGUAGUCAUUCUUCCACGCCAAAUUCCUCAUUCCCUACUGCCUUCACUUUUGAACCUUUUUGUAAAUACUCAGAGAUAUUCUUUCCUUUUAUUUACUUUAUAGAUUGUAUAAAAGACCAUAUCCCAGUCCACUUCUACUGUAAUAAUAAGACCUGGACACAUGGAUAUUAUGGCUUAUGUGCAAAAACUGGGUCACUUUCAAACUAAUUUGUAGAACUUGUCCAAGGGAAGGAUGUGUAAAGUCUUGAUUUAGGAUUUAAACAAAGAUGUGCAAAUAAAAAAACAGAUGUCUCUUUAUUGAUUUAGGAAAUUGUAAUGUCAAAAGUUAUUUAUAAAAGUCUCACUCCUUUUGUAUUCCUAAAAACUCAUUUUCACUGCUAUUAAUUUGCUACUUUGUGUCCUCAAUAAGGGUAUUACAAAUUUAAUUGAUUUUGAACUCACUGAUUUUGAACUUAAUGAAAUUGUUUAUUUCAGUAACUUCACUUUCUUUUAUUUUCUUCACCAUUAAACUUGGUGAUAUGAAUCCCAAACUGAUUUACCUAACAGCCAAAGGGGUGAAAAAUAAGAGAUCUCAAUUUUUUGGAAGUUUUCCAAUUUUAUAUCCUAGAUGACAUACUGGUUCAAGAAGUCAUUUUGGCUCCUUUUCUUGAAAGAUGUUUUCUUUAAGUCUCCAUAUUUGUCUUGCUGUUUAAGAAGAAAUUGAUUCUCUACUCUGCUUAAAGAACAUUUGAUGACUUCCCAUUUUCCUGAAGAGAAGCUUUAAAUGUUUAACAUGGCAUUCUUAGCUCUUGAUGAUCUGGCUGCCAAUGUACCUCAUUGUCUAUAUUCCUUCUUGUUACUCCUGCCACACAUUCUUUGCUCCUUGUCCCUCAAAAACAGUAAAAAUUUUAGUAACAACAGUGUAUUAAUUAUCUCUUGCUGCAUAACAAGUUAUCCCAAGCAUUAGGUAUUAUUUCUUGGAUUCUGUGGGUCGGGAAUCUGAGCACAGCUUAGCUGGGUUCUCUGCUUCAGGGUUCCUUCUCUUACAAGACUGCAGUCAAGGUGUCAGCGGAGGCUGCAGUCAUCUCAAGGUUCACCUGGAGCAGAAACUGUUUCCAAGCUCACUCAUGUGGCCGCUGGUAGAAUUCGGUUCCUCCUGGACUGUUAAGCUGAGGGCCUCAGCUCCUUGUUGGCUGUUGGCCAGAAGUCACCUUCAAUUUCUUGCCAAGUGGCCCUCUCAUCAAAUCACGCAUGAAGGGGAGUGGGUGGAGAGAGAGAGGGAGAGAGACAGCAAGAGCGAGUGGGACAGAGAGAGAGAGAGAGAGAGAGAGAGAGAGAGAGAGAGAGAGAGAGAGAGAGAGAGAAUCAGCAAGUUAGAAAGCUGUCUUUUGUAACCUAAUCAGGGAAGUGACAUCUCAUUACCUUUGCUGCUUCUAGUGGUUAGAAGCAACCAAUGGAAUGACCAGCACAUUGUAAAGGGGAGAGGCUCUAUAAAGGCGUGAAUACCAAGAGUUGGAGAUAAUUUAGAGUCAUGUCAGAAGCUGCCAACCACAAACAAUAUAUACGGUUAACAAUUACUGAGUAUGUACUAUGUAACAGACACACUGUUAAGACCUUUCCCAUAUAGUAUUUCAUGCAGUCCUUACAAAAAUUCUAGUCAAUGGAUAAUGUUUUCAUUUCAAUUUCAUCUCAAAAGGGUUAAAUAAUUAGCAAGUGGCAGAGGCAGGAUUUGAGCCCUGGUUAGGGCAAGAGACAACGUCCUUAUUUCUCCAUCCUCAGAGCUCAGCACUGACUCUGUGACACAAGAACCUAGUAGGUAUUGAGUAACUGCAAAAUAAAUGAAUGAACGAAUGAAUGCAGACUUGGGUCCCACUGCAACUACUUUUGCCCAAACUCUGGUCCUAGGCCUUGACCCAGUCUAAAUAAUACAUAAAUUACCAUGUGGUUAAAUAGGGCUGAAUUAUAUUUAAUCAGUGAGGAGAACUCUGAAUUUUAGGUGCAGGACUCAAGAGAGGAGAUGUGGUUUUGUAAUUUUUUCUCAUGUAUAGUCACCUGUCACUUAAUGAUGGAGAUAAGUUCCAAGCAAUGCAACAUCAGGCAAAUUUGUCAUUCUGCAAACAUCAUAAGGUAUACUUACACAAAGCUAGAUGGUGUAGCCUACUACACACCUAGGCUAUAUGGUGUAGCCAGUUGCUCCUAGGCUACAAGCCUAUACAGCAUAUUAUUGUACUAAAUACUCUAGGUGAUUAUAAAACAGUGGUAAGUAUUUGUGUGUCUAAGAAUAUCCAAACACAGGAUGGGCACAGUGGCUCACCCCUGUAAUCUCAGAACUUUGGGAGGCACAGGCAGGUGGGUUAUGAGGUCAGGACAUCGAGACCACCCUGGCUAACAUGGUGAAACCCUGUCUCUACUAAAAAUACAAAAAAUUAGCCGGGCGUGGUGGCACACGCCUGUAGUCCCAGCUACUCAGGAGGCUGAGUCAGGAGAAUUGCUUGAACCAGGGAGGCGGAGGUUGCAGUGAGCCGAGAUCGUGCCACUGCACUCCAACCUGGGUGACAGAGUGAGACUCUUCUCAAAAAAAAAAAAAAAAAAAAAGAAUAUCUAAACACAGAAAAGGUACAGUAAAAAUAUGGUAUAAAAGAAAAAACGGGCCGGGCGCGGUGGCUCACGCCUGUAAUCCCAGCACUUUGGGAGGCCGAGGUGGGUGGAUCAUGAGGUCAGGA
rnacentral:lncRNA from 1 species